rnacentral:snoRNA from 1 species
UGCGAUUUUACUUCAUAGGAUCAUUUCUAUAGUAAAUCGUCUCAUCUGAAACUCUAACCAGAGCCACAGAUUCUCCAACCUGGGGGAUGACCAUUAAUCUCCUCGAGACCCAAGAGUGAACCCUUUUUUGACCCCUGCUUCGGCGGCGGUGGUUAUGAUCUCGACCCGAAUUGCUAUGAGCUUACUCUUCGGGGUAUGACAGGUGAUGAGGGUGGGCCUUGAUGGAAGUCUGACAGGU